UACGGAGGAUGCGAGCGUUAUCCGGAUUUAUUGGGUUUAAAGGGUGCGUAGGCGGCCUGCCAAGUCAGCGGUAAAAUUGCGGUGCUCAACGCCGUCGAGCCGUUGAAACUGGCGUUCUUGAGUGGGCGAGAAGUAUGCGGAAUGCGUGGUGUAGCGGUGAAAUGCAUAGAUAUCACGCAGAACUCCGAUUGCGAAGGCAGCAUACCGGCGCCCUACUGACGCUGAGGCACGAAAGCGUGGGUAUCGAACAGG
rnacentral:rRNA from 1 species